rnacentral:rRNA from 1 species
UGGUAUGACUGGUCUCGCUGAUCCCUCCUUUCUGAAGAACUGUAAUGUCAUUAAUUUGGUGUUGCAGGGAAACAGGACUGUUACUUUGAAAAAAUUAGAGUGUUUAAAGCGGGCUAACGCUUGAAUACAUUAGCAUGGAAUAAUGAAAUAGGACGUUCAAACCUAUUUUGUUGGUUUCUAGGAUUGACGUAAUGAUUAAUAGGGAUAGUUGGGGGCAUUAGUAUUCAAUUGUCAGAGGUGAAAUUCUUGGAUUUAUUGAAGACUAACUACUGCGAAAGCAUUUGCCAAGGAUGUUUUCAUUAAUCAAGAACGAAAGUUAGGGGAUCGAAGACGAUCAGAUACCGUCGUAGUCUUAACCAUAAACUAUGCCGACUAGGGAUCGGAUGAUGUUAAUUUUUUAAUGACUCAUUCGGCGCCUUACG